AUGGGAAAGGAGGGGCCUGGGUAUUUCACUGGAAGUCUCAGCUCCAUACAGCCUUUCUGUCUUCAGGUUCCAAACAAACUGGAAAAAAUGCUUGAGAAAAUGUUACCCAUGAUGAACCACCUGUCCACCCUCAUCAACCAAAGCCAGUUCAGCUCCCAGGCAGUUUUCUUGAAAACUUGCUUAGCCUGCAACUUCUGCAUUGGACUCCUGGCAGUGCUUGGAGCAAAGGGCAAUGGCGACUGCACACCAGGAAACUGGUAA
rnacentral:lncRNA from 1 species